rnacentral:rRNA from 1 species
GACGAACGCUGGCGGCGUGCUUAGCACAUGCAAGUCGAACGGAAAGGCCCUGCUUUUGUGGGGUGCUCGAGUGGCGAACGGGUGAGUAACACGUGAGUAACCUGCCCUUGACUUUGGGAUAACUUCAGGAAACUGGGGCUAAUACCGGAUAGGAGCUCCUGCUGCAUGGUGGGGGUUGGAAAGUUUCGGCGGGUGGGGAUGGACUCGCGGCUUAUCAGCUUGUUGGUGGGGUAGUGGCUUACCAAGGCUUUGACGGGUAGCCGGCCUGAGAGGGUGACCGGCCACAUUGGGACUGAGAUACGGCCCAGACUCCUACGGGAGGCAGCAGUGGGGAAUAUUGCACAAUGGGCGGAAGCCUGAUGCAGCAACGCCGCGUGCGGGAUGACGGCCUUCGGGUUGUAAACCGCUUUCGCCUGUGACGAAGCGUGAGUGACGGUAAUGGGUAAAGAAGCACCGGCUAACUACGUG